CAGCUUCCGGAGCAGCUGGGACUGCUGGCGCCCGCCACUACGCUCGGCUAAUUUUUUUGUGUUUUUAGUAGAGACGGGCUUUCACCGUGUUGGCCUAGCGGUUCUCCAACUCCUGACCUCAUGAUCCCCCCGCCUCAGCCUCCCAAAGUGCUGGGAUUACAAGCGUGAGCCACCGCGACCCGCCAACACUCUUGACAACAGUGCUGUGCUAAGAACUUGGGGGACUUCAAAAAGUUCACCAGUUCCUGUGUCCAUGGGUGAAAAGAUUUUCUACAUCUUUCCUUGACUAGAAACAGAAGUCCUGAAACAAGAAUAUAACGUCAGGAGGCCAGAGGCUUUGUCCUGCCUAAUGUGUUAUUUCCACACUGAAUAAAAGCACCUGAGUCCUGGUAAGUGCUCAUAUGAUUGGCUCAAUAAAAGAAUAAUAAAUGAAUUGGAAAGAGGAGACAGUGAAGGAUAUAGGAGAUGUACCUGAUAGCAACUUACUGCCUCUCAGCUCAAAAUUCACCCUUCAAAACCUUUUCUACACCAAUGGAUAGAAUUCCUGUCAGCAUUUCUCUUUUACGUUGAACACAAUGUUAAGCUUCCUCAGUGAAGGACCCUAGAUGGACAUUGCAGGAAGAAGGGACUUCCCCUGUUGGACCUAGAGGUUGUACCAGCAUUGUAGGUGGGAGGACAUCCACUGGCUCUUUGCAAUAGCCAUGUGUCCAUAAAGUAUAGUUUCUCAGCAAUCUCAUUGCCCAGUCUAGGCUUGGCAAUCACCCUCCUGCAGCCUU
ensembl:lncRNA LINC02327 long intergenic non-protein coding RNA 2327